AGCAGUCGCCGCGGAAUACGGAGGGUGCAAGCGUUAAUCGGAAUUACUGGGCGUAAAGCGCACGCAGGCGGUCUGACAAGUCAGAUGUGAAAUCCCCGGGCUUAACCUGGGAACUGCAUUUGAAACUGUCAGGCUGGAGUCUUGUAGAGGGGGGUGGAAUUCCAGGUGUAGCGGUGAAAUGCGUAGAGAUCUGGAGGAAUACCGGUGGCGAAGGCGGCCCCCUGGACAAAGACUGACGCUCAGGUGCGAAAGCGUGGGGAGCAAACAGGAUUAGAUACCCGAGUAGUCCCUGUCUCUUAUACA
rnacentral:rRNA from 1 species